CUGCUUCUAGUAGUCGGGCGACCCACAACCAUCACCAUCCGAUCAGGCAGCGCAGUGAUCCCGCAGGCACAAAUGGUUUACCUUGCGUGGGAGACCUUCCAAACCAGCAACAACAUGUAGCUGAGCUGAUCUGCUAGAUCUUCUGCAGAUGGGCCUCAGCCCACUCGUCGUGAGCAUCUUCAUCGCCCAGAGCGCGGUGGGCCGCUAUCCGUCGCCGCCUCCCCUCAGGUCCAGCCCGUGUCUCUAUCUGCUUCUAUUCCUGUUUGCAAAAUCUUCCAAAAUUCAUAUCUUUAAAUUGGUAACUCCAAAUAAAAUGUUCU